UACAGAGGGUGCAAGCGUUAAUCGGAAUUACUGGGCGUAAAGCGUGCGUAGACGGUUACAUAAGUCGGGUGUGAAAGCCCCGGGCUCAACCUGGGAAUUGCAUUCGAGACUGCGUAGCUAGGGUGCGGAAGAGGGAAGCGGAAUUUCCGGUGUAGCGGUGAAAUGCGUAGAUAUCGGGAGGAACACCUGUGGCGAAAGCGGCGCACUGGACCACAACUGACGCUGGAGGCGCGAAAGCUAGGGGAGCAAACAGG
rnacentral:rRNA from 1 species